UUUCCCCCUUUAAUCCUGGCCCUUCAUCUCAGCUCAUCCAACGGACUGGAACUCCUUACCCCUUCCCUUAAAACUGUCUCAAACACCCCCAUACCCUUGAGACCAGACCUCAAUCUUCAUCUUCCUCCUUGUCAUCUCUUAUCAAACCCUAGCCGCCCCAAAAAUCCACCCCGGCGGCACCACCUCAAACAGCUCCAAUCUCCCUCAAAUUCACACCCCAUAAUCCCCACCUCCUCCUCAUCCUAUAUCAAAUUUCCUCUAAAACAUCUUAGUUUCCCCCGAUUUUUAGAUCUAAAAAAGGGCCAAAAAACCUAGCUUCAUUCCCCAUUGAGUUCUUCAGGAAUUAUUGAUCGUUUUGACUUGAAACUGACAUUGAUCGAUUGCUCUCGUCAAGAGAAAUCGAUUAAUGUAAGUUUUAGCUCAUCUCGAAACUAUCAGAUUCCGGACGGUGCUCGUUGUCUGCCAUAAAUCAUUUCGUCGUCCUGAUUGUUUCAACAUGUAUAUCUCUUUCUCAUGUUCUUUCUUUCUAUCUUGAAUUGUUAUUACGUUUUGGCUAAGUCGUCCGUUUGCAGAAAUUGGAGGUUAACUUUGUUUCGUAGAAGACGAUUUGUUAGGUUGCUAGAUGUCUUAAGAUAAUUGAUUUUGAUUUUAAUUGUUUUUUUGUUAAUUUAAGUUAGUUGUUGAAUUUAUUUAGCUAUGUGGAAUGCUUUUGUUUUGGUUAUCAUUAGGUUGUUCCAAAAUCAUGCUGAUUGUGGCCUGGUUCGAAAUGGAUUGGGGCCUGCCUUGUUUGACAGGCAGGUCUAUUGAGUAUUAAAUCCCAAAGACAUAAAAUGCUUGUUGAUGCAAAAAGAAAACUAAGAGAGUAUAUACAGGGGUGAUAAAGGGUAAUUUAGGUUUUGAACCAGCAGAAUCUUUUCUGUUACACCUUAGGAAGCUUCUAGAAAAAGGGUUAAAGGGCAAUAAAAUGAAAGAAUUAGGUCUGAUUUGGGUAAAAGAGGUGAUUUUCAGAAGCUAAAGGUUUAAGAAAUAAAAAGAAAUAUCUGGAAAUAGGACAGCUGUCCAAUUCAGUUGCAAAAGAUGCCAUUUUCCUAAAUUUUAGGAGGCUGACGGAUUCUUUUCUAGGCCUUAUCUCAUUUUCCCAUAGAGCAUAUGCAUAUUCUAUAAAAGGGUACUCUUCCUCAUAUUCUCACACGUUUUUUUGCAUAUCUACUCACAAAUACACUGGAUUUUACACUGUUACUCUGAUUUUCACCGAGUUCUCUGAAAAAGAAACAAUCUGGAAAAUAGAGAAAAUUCCAAACUUUCCUCUAUUUUGUCUUCUUGCUUCAUCUCGUUGGGGUUUUACAAGUUUGAUUGACCUUCAAGACCUGGGUUUUACUGCUGUCUGCUGAGCUUCGAGUUUGAAUCAGAUUAUGUUCUUAUUUGGAUAUCUUAGUGUUUUCUUGCUUAACUAGGUCAGUACCCAGAUCUCUGUGCAUUUUAUGCUCUUAUCAAAUGACUAGAAAUGCGUCUGCUCUUGUUUAAUCUCUGAAUAUCUGUUUGUUUCUAUCUUAGUGUGUGAUUUAAUGGACUUUUCGUUUUAAUCAUAAAUCGAAACAGUGAAGUAGCUUUGAAAUAUAACACUUAUGAAAAUUUGAUCAACUAAGUAUGAGUCUUUAAUUGUUGAGUUGAUUGAUAAUCUCAAAUGAUGUUUGAAAUUUGUUUAAAUCUUGCAGAUUUAGCAAUAGCGCUAAACAUAAAGCUAUUAUAGUUUUCUGUAUAUGUGAUGAGUAAUUUUGUGCCAUUUCGAGGAUAUAGAAGGCUUUUGCUGCUUGAUCAUAUGGCUAUAGUUUGCGGAUUUGGCUACUAAUUGGCCAAAUCAGCAAAAUUCUAAGCCAAAGAAUGGGAUUCUGUCGCUGGUAGUAUGCUGAAGGUUAACUACUUCAUGUUGUGGAUUGAGGUUUAUGUGGAUAGAUUAGAUCCGAAUUGGAAAGUAUUCAUUAGUUUAGCAAUUUCAUGGAGAAUUGUAAUAGAAGUGAUUGAUGUUUUAAAGUUCGUAUUCUGAUUCUUGUAUAAAAAUUAGUUGUAAUUCUUGAAUGUCAGAUAAGCAUGUCUUCCUAUUUAAAGUGGUUUGUAGUUGUUUUCACUUUAGCACUAAUGCACGAGAAAAAUAUGUUUUACAGUAUCUUUCACUAAAAGCAAAUUUGGUCUUUCAAUUGUUUGAAGUUGCUACCUGUUGGCCUAUAGUUCACUUAGCUUUAAUUCAGGCAUUAGAAUUAUUUCAGGGAUCAACUAAUGACUAGUUUAAAAAUGGAUUGUUGUGUUUAUAAAAUCUCAACUUGUAUCAUGAUUAACUCAUCUCGUAAUCUUCCUGUGAUCCAAUGUCAGGCAGAUUUGAAUAUCAAAUGACG
rnacentral:lncRNA from 1 species